GACGAACGCUGGCGGCGUGCCUAAUACAUGCAAGUCGAGCGAGUCUGCCUUGAAGAUCGGAGUGCUUGCACUCUGUGAAACAAGAUACAGGCUAGCGGCGGACGGGUGAGUAACACGUGGGUAACCUGCCCAAGAGAUCGGGAUAACACCUGGAAACAGAUGCUAAUACCGGAUAACAACAGAUGAUGUCUAUCAACUGUUUAAAAGAUGGUUCUGCUAUCACUCUUGGAUGGACCUGCGGUGCAUUAGCUAGUUGGUAGGGUAACGGCCUACCAAGGCGAUGAUGCAUAGCCGAGUUGAGAGACUGAUCGGCCACAUUGGGACUGAGACACGGCCCAAACUCCUACGGGAGGCAGCAGUAGGGAAUCUUCCACAAUGGACGCAAGUCUGAUGGAGCAACGCCGCGUGAGUGAAGAAGGGUUUCGGCUCGUAAAGCUCUGUUGUUGGUGAAGAAGGACAGGGGUAGUAACUGACCUUUGUUUGACGGUAAUCAAUUAGAAAGUCACGGCUAACUAAGUG
rnacentral:rRNA from 1 species